rnacentral:rRNA from 1 species
UACAGAGGGUGCGAGCGUUAAUCGGAAUUACUGGGCGUAAAGCGCACGUAGGUGGCGACGUAAGUCGGGUGUGAAAUCCCCGGGCUCAACCCGGGAACUGCGUCCGAUACUGGUGGGCUCGAAUCCGGGAGAGGGAUGCGGAAUUCCAGGUGUAGCGGUGAAAUGCGUAGAUAUCUGGAGGAACACCGGUGGCGAAGGCGGCAUCCUGGACCGGUAUUGACGCUGAGGCGCGAAAGCCAGGGGAGCAAACGGG